rnacentral:rRNA from 1 species
GAUGAACGCUGGCGGCGUGCUUAACACAUGCAAGUCGAACGAAGCACUUUUGAGAGCUUGCUCUUGAUUGUGACUUAGUGGCGGACGGGUGAGUAACGCGUGAGUAACCUGCCUUACACAGGGGGAUAACAGUUAGAAAUGACUGCUAAUACCGCAUAAGCGCACGGUACCGCAUGGUACAGUGUGAAAGUUUUUCGGUGUAAGAUGGACUCGCGUCUGAUUAGCUAGUUGGUGAGGUAACGGCUCACCAAGGCAACGAUCAGUAGCCGACUUGAGAGAGUGAUCGGCCACAUUGGGACUGAGACACGGCCCAA